rnacentral:rRNA from 1 species
AGCUCCAAUAGCGUAUAUUAAAGUUGUUGCAGUUAAAAAGCUCGUAGUUGAAUUUCUGGCGCGGGCCGGUGCGGGCAGCUUCGGUUGCACCGCCGCCGACCGCGCCAUCCUCGUGGGGACGGCGUCGGCAUUCACUUGUCGGCGUCCUGACCCACGUCCUUUACUGUGAAAAAAUUAGAGUGUUUCAAGCAGGCGUCCCGCCUGAAUACAUUAGCAUGGAAUAAUGAGAUAGGACCGUCGGUGCUAUUUUGUUGGUUGCGUACCGGGGUAAUGAUUGAUAGGGACAGUUGGGGGUAUUCAUAUUUAGCUGUCAGAGGUGAAAUUCUUGGAUUUGCUAAAGAUGAACCACUGCGAAAGCAUCUACCAAGGAUGUUUUCA